GGAUGGACCUGACAAAGGUGGGCAGCAUCUUGACGGUCGCGGUGGUGUUGGUGUCGCGGCCCAGCCCGUUCUCCAGCUCCCGCCGGAACCGACACUUGAUGUCAUGCAGCGUCUCGUCAGAGAAACGCAUGGAGUAAAGUCCCCAGUAUGUCAACCUCACGCUCUACGUAAACUGAACCAUCUCGGCUGACUCAAUGACGCGUGACGCUUCUGAUGUCUUUUUCCAUCAACUCUAUAGUGAAUUAGAACCUCCCCCUAUUUUCUCCCCUCCUCCUCCCUCCCUACUCCCUUCCCUCUAUCCCCCUCUCCACUGGCCUCAGGGGAAAUAAGGGUUUUCCCUCUCUCUGUUCUGUCCUCCAAAGGAGCAGCUUGAGAGAGAGUGCGCUUUGUGUUUGGUUGACCUGUCGCUCUCUCCUCCAAAAAGACUGCCUGGUGCCAUCAUGGCCGCUCCAAGGUGACCUUGUCUCUGGCUUCACUGUGAGAGGCCACAGAGAGAGAAUAAUAAAGGGAUACUAUUGACACAGAA